CAGUAGCCACGGUAAUACGAAGGGGGCUAGCGUUGCUCGGAAUUACUGGGCGUAAAGGGAGCGUAGGCGGGUCGUUUAGUCAGAGGUGAAAUCCCGGGGCUCAACCUCGGAACUGCCUUUGAUACUGGCGACCUUGAGUAUGGGAGAGGUGAGUGGAACUCCGAGUGAAGAGGUGAAAUUCGUAGAUAUUCGGAAGAACACCAGUGGCGAAAGCGACUCACUGGCCCAUUACUGACGCUGAGGCUCGAAAGCGUGGGGAGCAAACAGGAUUAGAUACCCGCGUAGUCCCUGUCUCUUAUAA
rnacentral:rRNA from 1 species